rnacentral:rRNA from 1 species
UUGGAGGGCAAGUCUGGUGCCAGCAGCCGCGGUAAUUCCAGCUCCAAUAGCGUAUAUUAAAGUUGUUGCAGUUAAAAAGCUCGUAGUUGAACUUCGGGGUCUACCCAUUGGUCAGGCUUAAUUGUCUGUACUGGUGAGAUGGAUCUCUACCUUCUGAGGAACUUUCAUGCCAUUUAUUUGGUGUGGUUGGAAAUCAGGACUGUUACUUUGAAAAAAUUAGAGUGUUUAAAGCAGACUAUCGUCUGAAUACAUUAGCAUGGAAUAAUGAAAUAGGACGGACUGAUUCUAUUUCGUUGGUUUCUAGGAUCACCGUAAUGAUUAAUAGGGAUAGUUGGGGGCAUUAGUAUUCAAUUGUCAGAGGUGAAAUUCUUGGAUUUAUUGAAGACUGACUACUGCGAAAGCAUUUGCCAAGGAUGUUUUCAUUAAUCAAGAACGAAAGUUAGGGGAUCGAAGACGAUCAGAUACCGUCGUAGUCUUAACCAUAAACUAUGCCGACUAGGGAUCGGACGAAGUUAAUUUUAUAAUGACGCGUUCGGCGCCUUACGGGAAAC